rnacentral:rRNA from 1 species
CUACGGGGGGCAGCAGCUAGGAAUAUUCUACAAUGCGCGCAAGCGUGAUAGAUUGAGCCAGAGUGUUUUUCAAAUGAAAAGCUUUUGUGAAAUGUAAAAAGUUUCACGAAUAAGGACUGGGUAAGACUAGUGCCAGCCGCCGCGGUAAUACUAGCGGUCCAAGUCGCAGCCAUUUUUAUUGGGUCUAAAACAUCCGUAGCUUGCUUAAUAAGUUCCUUGUGAAAUUUUAUCUCUCAAAGAUAGAGCGUGCAAGAAAUACUGUUAAGCUAGAGACUGGAAGACGUAACGAGUACGUUCGGAGUAGCGGUAAAAUGUGUUAAUCCUGGACGGACUAACAAUAGCGAAGGCACGUUACGAGGACAGUUCUGACAGUAAGGGAUGAAGGCUAGGGGCGCAAAACGGAUUAGAUACCCCAGUAGUC